GAAUUUUCCGCAAUGGGCGCAAGCCUGACGGAGCAACGCCGCGUGCGGGAUGACGCUUUUCGGAGUGUAAACCGCUGUUCGUGGGGACGAAGCACUGACGGUACCCACGGAGGAAGGCCCGGCUAACUACGUGCCAGCAGCCGCGGUAAUACGUAGGGGUCGAGCGUUGUCCGGAGUUACUGGGCGUAAAGCGCGUGCAGGUGGCUCAUUACGCCCGGCGUGAAAGCCCCCGGCUCAACCGGGGAGGGUCGUCGGGGACGGAUGGGCUUGAGGGUCGCAGGGGCUGGUGGAAUUCCCGGUGUAGUGGUGAAAUGCAUAGAGAUCGGGAGGAACACCCGUGGCGAAGGCGGCCAGCUGGGCGACACCUGACACUGAGACGCGAAGGCGUGGGGAGCGAACGG
rnacentral:rRNA from 1 species